GUAAAACUAAGGAUGUUGUAGACUUUGCACUGCCUGCUUCCUGGAUUUUCAGUUCUUGUUGCACCAUUAUUAAGCAGUCUCAUUGUUUUGAAGAGCAAUAAAUAUUCACAAUUAAAUCUGCUUUGCAGUUAUCUUGUUUGGGAAGUUCUUUAUGGACCACAGUUUUUCUUCAGAAAUGCUGCUGUGCAAAUAGUGUUACCUCCAAAGAUAUGUCCUCUGCC
rnacentral:lncRNA from 1 species